CAUCUGGCAUAUUACUGGAAAUGGCCAAAAAAGAAUCGGCACGUAAACCAGAAGGUUAGCAUAAUUUAGCCGCGUUGCCGACAGAAAAUCUAUAGUCAUUUGGGGUUUUGGCGGUGCCAAGCAGGCUCGCAUUGAUUAACGAUGUGUGUGUGUGUGUGUGUGUGUGUGUGUGUGUGUGUGUGUGUGUGUGUGUGUGUGUGUGUGUGUGUGUGUGUGUGUGUGUGUGUGUGUGUGUGUGUGUGUGUGUGUGUCUGUGUCUGUGUGCAUGUGUGUGUGUGUGUGUGUGUGUGUGUGUGUGUGUGGUUUUGGUAGAUUUACGGUAGACUCAGCGAUAGGGCAAAAAGAGAGAGAGGGCGAGAGACAUAGGAAGGCAGAGCAAAGAGAGAGAGGCUGAUUGAAAUGAGACCUUGAACUUACAGACAGCAGAGCAACAAACGGAGGAAAUGAACCGCAUGACAUGACAAACACACGGGGGGAGAGCACGAUAAGAAAACCAACGAAAACAACCUGGAAAGGGUUAAGUGACCAACAGACUGGCACAGCACCGAGACAUGGCAUGGCACAGUCUAAAUAGGGGGGCGGGAUAGCUCCAGAGAGAGGGCGAGAGAGAGCGCCAGAGAGAGGGCGAGAGAGGGCGAGAGAGAGAGGGCGAGAGAGGGCAAGAGAGAGCGCCAGAGCGAGGGCGAGAGAGAGCGCCAGAGAGAGGGCGAGAGUGGGCAAGAGAGAGCGCCAGAGCGAGGGCGAGAGAGGGCAAGAGAGAGCGCCAGAGCGAGGGCGAGAGAGGGCGAGAGAGAGCGCCAGAGCGAGGGCGAGAGAGAGCGCCAGAGAGAGGGCGAGAGAGGGCAAGAGAGAGCACGAGGGCGAGGGCGAGAGAGAGCGCCAGAGAGAGGGCGAGAGAGGGCAAGAGAGAGCGCCAGAGCGAGGGCGAGAGAGGGCGAGAGAGAGAGGGCGAGAGUGGGCAAGAGAGAGCGCCAGAGAGGGGGCGAGAGAGGGCAAGAGAGAGCGCCAGAGAGGGGGCGAGAGAGGGCAAGAGAGAGCGCCAGAGAGGGGGCAAGAGAGGGCAAGAGAGAGCGCCAGAGAGGGGGCGAGAGAGGGCGAGAGAGAGCGCCAGAGCGAGGACGAGAGAGGGCGAGAGAGAGAGCGAGCGAGCCGGAGCAUCAUGAAGGGUUACAGAAGGUCUUUUUAUUUCAUGGAAUUGACUUUUCAUCUCCGCUUGAGUCCAACUCUUCCUGACUCCCGUACAUUACGUCGUGGGUUCGAUGUCUAGCCAUCAGGCAGGCUGCCCAGAUCCAAUGGAAAGAUUUAUAAAAGCUUUCAUCAGAGGGAUCGGCCUGGCCCGCAACCAGGGUUGGUUACACGCAGACUGGAGUUUACUAGUUACUAGUCUUACUUUGUUGCUUUUAUAUUGGUUUUACAUAUAUUGAGUUUCAUAUGCUCUGUGAAGCCAAGACAAAUGUAUUUUUUGUGCAAAUACAAAUGUUGUUCUUCCUUUCUUUCGAUACAUCUGUCUUUAAUAUAGCUUUAAUGAAAAUAAUGUGCAAAUAUAUCCCAGCCCAUAUAUCCCAUAAUGUGCAAAUAUAGAUAUAUAUAUAUAUAUAUAUAUAUAUAUAUAUAUAUAUAUAUCUAUAUCUAUAUAUAUAUAUAUAUAUAUAUAUAUAUAUCUAUAUCUAUAUCUAUAUCUAUAUCUAUAUAUAUAUAUAUAUAUAUAUAUAUAUACGUAUAUAUAUAUAUAUACGUAUAUAUCCCAGCCACAAAGAGUUAAUCCCUACCCAGAUAAUCAUUGUGUGACCAGACAAGGGAAAAUCAAUGUCUCUCAGCAGGCGUUGGAGGCCGUGUCCAGAACCAGAGAAAUCAGAGCCGGUCCUCGCUGAGGGUCUCAGUACACUUCAUUACAGGACAAACUCGGGCUCUGAAUGGCGCCCAGACGAUGAAGGUCGAUGAGACGCCCUCGUGUUGUGGGUGGUGCGCAUGCCCCACCUAGGCAAACCUUCUCCUCCUCCUUCCUCUCUUCCUCCCUUCCUCCCAGAGAGACCGUCUUUACACUGUCAGCCAUUCCGCGCACAUGGAGUACUUCAAUCACCAAAAUUGUUCAUGUUUAUCGAAGCGAAAUGAAGUUUUGAUAAAUAAUGACAUGUCUGUUUAUGUGGAAGACGCAAAUGUGGGAGUCUAGUUAUUCUAGGCCGAUAAAUAAAUGUUACCAUUGUACUAAAGUAGGUGUAAAGUUUGAUAUUUGCUCAGCGCAUUUCUUUAUGUGAACGCCACAUCAAUCUCCUUAUGUCGUCAAACCUUAUUUUUCCCCGUAAAACAUUUAACUUCACCACUGUCCUUGUACAAUAAAUAAUAAAAAUAUUUUAAUGCACAAACGCAUAUUUCCGAAGUUUGCCCAUUUACAUGAGAGUUCCCAAGUUCCAACAUGGCGUGACACGCCCUAACGCAGUGUACGGCCAACCUCUGUCUUCUUUCCCAGCAUGCUCUCUGGCUGAUUAUACGAGCGUCCUAUAGCCCAUUACCCUGCUCCUCCCUUCCUCCCCCACCCUACCUGGAUGGUCAUCCUUCGCUAGCUAGCUAGUCCUCCCCUCCCUGGUGCUGGCUGCCGCUAGCCGCCAGGCUACGCUAGUUGUUAACCCAACAGUAGCAAACACGCGGUGAAGCCGCGCGCUUUACGACGCUACUCUGCGUUAGCGAGCCAGUGCUAGCCCGCGGCUACGCCGUGGCGCAAAGGGGAGUGAUAUAAACGCAAAGGGCCGAUAGUAAAUGUGUGACAUAAAGUCUUUAUGCUGAAAUGGGGAGAUAUGCAUCAUUAGUUAAUAAGGCUGCGGCAUCAGUUGUGGAGAGGGGCCGGUAAAAGAAAUGCUGCGGGGUAUUACAGUCGUGUUGUAAACUUUAUUCCGCGUAUAAAGAAUAACUCGGUGUUGAGCUGUCAAACAUACUGGGAGAUUAAAUCCCAUACUGGAAAAUUGUGGCUUCCUGUCAGUCGUGUCGCCUUAGUAUAUAUAUAUAUAUAUAUAUAUAUAUAUAUAUAUAUAUACACAGUAUAAUGGGUUUGUGGUGAUUGAAAGAAAACUUCUUCACAUUUGUACAUUCUACACACACACACACACACACACACACACACACACACACACACACACACACACACACACACACACACACACACACACACACACACACACACAGGCACAGUCCACGCACCACACUAACCCAAACACCCUAUGAACAUUACAUACACAUUUUUACAUUUGAAAGCUUUCCUUUUUGAUCAAGCAUAAGCUAGUUCACAAUAGCAUGCAGAAUGAGAGAGUGCCUCCCUCCAUCACUCAAUCACACACACAACCACGCACAGUCACACACACACACACACACACACACACACACACUUCGGCCCGGCCUAAGCUGUUAGUUAGAGCUCAGACCGUCCAUUAGCUGAGUUCUUUUCCUGUUUCCGACAUAAUGAAGCAGAACGCUAGAAGAAGGGAGAGAGAGAGUGCGAGCCUGCUGACCUGAUUAAUUAGCGAGAGGCGGGAGAGAGAGGAUGCAAGAGUGUGAGAGAGAGAGAAAAGAGUGAGCGAGAGGCAGCGAGAGAGAGAAAGAGAGGGGGUAGGUAUGAUAAAGACAGUGAUAAAGAUUGAUAAAGUGGAGAACGAAGAAAAAUCAGUAUGAGAGAGGAGAGAUGGAGGACAAAAUGACCUGAGAGAUGAAAGAAAGAGGGAUGAGCUGCUGGGUGUAAUAAAUGUGAUGUCAGCUUAUAAACGACUCGGCGCGAGGGCGUGGGCAAGAGGACGGGCUUGUAGCGCACGGCGUCAACACAUCCCGAUAAAACAGUGGAUGAUUCCAACCUCAAAAAACAACGAUCGUUCUAACCUUUCGAUUUUCCCUCUUCCUCCACCGUCUCCUUCUCUUAACCAACACCUCUUUGUCUCUUCGCUACGUCAGUAUUUUACUCUUUGAAAGACUUUUAAAGGCCUUUUAAAAAGCUGGUGGUAUAUAGCAGCCAUGGAAACCUUGGCUGGGCUCUCUCCAUCGCAGCAGGAGAUGAUUAAAGUUACGGUCCAGUUAACAGCUAGCUGGGACCCUCCAGCUCUCUGGCCCUCAGGUACACACAAACACACACACAUCCACGCCGCCUCCCACACACGCAUGCAAGCACACACAGCCACACACACCCUCUCCCUCUCUCUCUGACACACCCUCAAUCCCAAACACACACACACACACACGCACAAACACACACACACCCUCUCUAUCGCUCUCUCACACACAUAUACACACACACACACACACACACCCUCUCUAUCGCUCUCUCACACACGUAUACACACACACACACACACAAACACACACACACACACCCAAACACCCUAAUAAGGCCGCUCACCUGUGCAGGAGCAUGCAGAACGCAUUGGAGGAGCUGGGUUCUAGCUAAAGCCUGAGCACGCUCUGAGAGGCAGCAGCACGGCAGGACAGCCAGCUCGGCCGGCGGGCAGGCAGACAGAAAGACAGCCAGCAUGGGCAUUCAUUAAAAACCCCAGCACCGUGCAUAGGGACUAACAGGGCCAUAAAAGCAAUUAAUCUAGCCAUAAACAAGCCACUCGCCUGUCCCACACUCCCCUGCACAGAAACGACGGUGGCAGUGGGGAGGGAGGGGGGGAGGGGAGGAGGGGGGAGACAGGGGGAGGCUUGCUUUUCGUUUCCUCUUCUCUGGGCUUUGUAUUUCUUCUGAUUUCUCGCUGUUUCCUCCCUCUGUCUCGGGGCCUCUCAGGUACACCCCACAGAUGUUACCUUCCCAUGAAGAGUGAACAAGAGUCCUCUAAUGAUCAAGCACACAUGGAUGCAGAUGUGUGUGUGCGUGUGUGUGUAUGUGUGUGUGUGUAUGUGUGUGCGCGUUUGCGUGUGCGAGAGCUGCAGCCUCCGACCCAACAUGGCGGACGGUGAGG
ensembl:lncRNA